UUGAGUGACUGAUUAUAGAUAUCGAGUAGUUAUCGUACUCACUACUAUACAGGACUAUUUUAAACACAGUAGCAACCUAGCACUCCUAGCAGGACCGUAUUGCUGAUACCAUAACAACUCUUGAUCUACUACUUUGAUUACUACCGCCACUUUUAGCAACAAUGAUGUAAAAUAAGGAUUCGUGACAAAACUACAAGCCUUACCUACCUGUGGUAACUCACCACGGGUGCACUAAAUGAUUUCACCAGGUGAAAUAAUUUUAUUCAAGCGAUGUCUUUUCUUCACCUCGGAAUUAAUUCACCCAGAGGAAACGCCCGGGUGUCGGCAUUGCGUGGACCACCCGGAGGACACGGUGGAGCAUACAGUAGCGGUGUGCCCUGCAUGGGCAUCGCCGUGUCCUUAGGGAUGUGAUCGGCGACGGUGACCUCUCGCGUCCGGCUUUGGUUCAGGCCAUGGUGCGGAGCGAGGGGGAAUGGGACGCCGUCUCCUCCUUCUGCGAAGCAGUUAUGUUAACUAAGGAGGAGGCGGAGCGUGUGAGGGAACGAUCCUCCUCACGCUCCAGCCGCCGCAGAAGACACUCCGGGCGUCGGAGAUCGCGUGACGAUCUCCGGCCACCGUAAGUGCGGGUCUGCGGACGGCGAGCAAGGGUAGCUCGCCGUCCGACCAGAACCAGACCCGUGUGUACGGCGCGUCGCGUUCCUCGCGCGCCUCAAAGAGCCAGACCACCACAGAUGGGGCCCAGUAGGACUGAUGCCUGAUCCGGAGCUGCGGACAACGUAAAAGGUUACCGGGGCUCCGGCUCAAAGCAGGAGAAGGAACGGGGUGUUUUUUAGUCAGUAAGAGUCUGACACACCCUCCCGCCUCACCCAAGGCGGGAGAAGUCAUUGGAUGAUUGUCUCGCCUCAAAAAAAAAGGUAUAUCAAGACGAAUUUUUUUUUUUAAAAACGUUGUCCCACUCUAGGAUUUUCUCCUGUGUCGUGGGUGCGUUUACAAACAUACAAGUUCACAUACACAUGACACCCAGACCCGAAACAACAAUUUGUAGAUCACACAAAGAGUUGCUCCGUGCGGGAAUCGAACCCGCUACCCGUUGCGCGGCAGCCAGUUGCCCAGCCACCGCACCAACCGUGCAGUCAAAUCAGUCAAACAGAAUGUUUACUUAGGUGGCUAAAUGCUGUACGUCUACGAACAUGUGGUCGAAUCAUUUCACCUGACUGAUGUGACUUUGGAUGAAAUAAUGCUCAGGUGAAAUAAGAACACCAAUAAGUGGAAUAAAACUCUUCGGUUUAUCGGUGAAUCACGGCGGUGUUUACUGAUAAUGCCUAAUGUAUACCAGAAGCGUUUAAAACUGCUUUCCCUCUGACUGCACGUACAGUUCUGUCUUGUACUUGGGUGUGAACGAGUGUGCGACUAACUUAUCCUCCGAUUUCUAUAUUGAUACGAGUAUUAAUAAUGGCUGACUCCGAUUGUGUUGUGAACCCCAAGGAGUUAGGAGAGGCAGUAAAAGCUGAAGGCAAGAUCUCAGGCAGAGAUAACAACAGUAUAGAGGAACAAGUAUUAGUAAAAAAAGCGGCAGUUACUUCUUCUACGGUCCAAGUUCCCUAUAACUGUCCUAAAGAUAAGAAGAUGGCAAGUGACGGUGUCUGCCGCGAAGUAAUGUAAGGCAGUAUUUAGUACAUACUGUACUUAUACGUGCGUACGUGUAAUUAUAUUAUGUAUAUUAGUAUAUUACUACUGCACGUCCUUGGAUUCUUUUGAGUUCAAUGUAUCCUGUAAAAGAACCCUUAGUCUUAAAGAACCUAUUCAUAUUUUCAACUGACAAAUGUUGCACUCCUUUAAAUCAGAUAACGUAAUCACAUGACGUUGUAAAGGUAUUAUUGGGUUGAUUGUGUUUCUUAAUUUAAUCAAAUGUGUUUUUGUAAAGAAAUAAAUGUUAAUUAUUUGAGUACUUA